rnacentral:ncRNA from 1 species
CUUCAUGGAGGGCAAACCCGGUGAAAACCGGGGGCGCAAAGCCGUGAGUCUAAGGCACCGCUAUUAAGUAGGACUUAAACAGUCAGACAGGCGGGGCUAUGAUUGUCAGGUUGCAAGU